GGAAGAUAGCAGGAAAGGAGAUUUUUUUUUUUGAAGAAAACUUUCAGGACGUAUUGGAGGAUUGGAGGAAAAAAGGAGAAAGAAGGGGUGAACAAGCAACAAAAGGCUCUGAGGAUUUUUGGGGGGAGAAGAACAGAGGAAACGGAGAAGAGCAAUUGCAACCAAGGCUAUCCAGGAUUGGAUGGCUUGGCUGCUUGCUACUGGAUGUUUUUCUUCAAUUCGUGAGCAAGGCUUGGCGUGUCAAAUUAUAACAGUCGGUGCAUAUGUUGAGGUGGGAAGCUUUACUUUUGUUCAGGAGCUGUUUGAUAAAAUACCCCACAAGUUACAGCAUAUAACUUGAAUGUACUAAAGUCCUCUGCCUGCGAAUUUUUGUCAGUUUUAUCUGGGAACUUCUUGAAACCUGCACAGAAUGGUGAUAAUUUGUGCAUUACAGAAUUUUGUGAUGUGCAAUAGAAUUAUUAAUCGAGCUGUGAAUGUGACCCCUGAUGAUUGACUGUCACAUGGACUAGCCCAGCAGUUUGCUUCCUUUGAUAACUUGAUCCAGCUGGCUAAGACUGAGAUACAAACUCCAUCUUCCCAAGGAGUCUUUGAAGGUUUAUUGCUUUGUCCUAGAUUAUGGAGAAGAGGAUAUUGAGUGAGGACGCUGCCAUAGUUGGGAUUGAGAUUGGUUUUCAUUACAAUCCAUCCCAUGAAAUGAAUGCUCUGAUACAGGCUACAAAUUGAGAAGACCAAUUUCCGAUGUUGAUUUUGAAGAUGGACAGAGAAAGGAACCAAUUUCUUUAAGGAAUAUUUGUUGUGUCUCUCGGGUUCUUAGGUAGUGAUUUAUGUUGCACAUCAAGUAGAGUUCUUAUCUUUGCUGAUUCCAUACUGGUCAUAAAAGAUGUAGCCUUUUGUUCAGAGCAAGAACCCAUGUUAUCCUUUGCUUCAGAAUUACUAGAUCAUGUGGGCUUUCAAGAGAACGAAAUUGUGCCAAUAUCGAAAAUUCCAGCUGCUACUUUGUGCCUCGGAAAUCAGCUUGCAAGGUGGUGAUCAUCAUAGCUGUGUCAACCAUGCUAAAAAUGCUUAUUAGCAUAAAUACCGAGGACAUCCCACCAAACUGCUUUGAUCAAUUCAAUGUAGAAAUGAAUGAGAAACAUAAUGUGAAUUUUCUGUAGCUUGAUGGUCUAGUGCAGGGAA